UCCUGAGGUCCUUCACCAUCCCUUGUCAGGCUCCCUUAACUCUGUUACAUUUUCAUCAAUAAUUCUUCCAUUAAACAUUUCUCGAUUACCUUAUUGGAGGGGACAACUUAUUUCCUGCCAAGAUUCCAACUGAUGUGACUUCCUAGCCACAGGACAUUGCCACCACCUCUCUGGCACCCUCUGGUUACCUUCCACAUCCAACCCGUUAUCCAACCAUGUUGUUGCUACUUUCUACUUACACCUUAAAAUUAGACAUAUCUCUUCUUGCCAUGGCUAACUGGUAGCUUCUUUGCUGGUCUUUCCAUUUUUACUCUUGCCUCUCUUUCAAUCUACUCACUGUGGGGCAGACAAAACCCCUUCUUAAAAAUAAAAGUCAGAUCAUAUUUCUUCACUGCUUACAAUUCAUUAAUGGUGUUCUUAGAAUUUGUGUAAAAUCCAAAUUCCUCAUCACAAACCUACCAGGCAUUGUAUGAUUGGUUCCCUAUUGACCUACCCAAAGUCAUCUCAUACCUACCCCUCCAACUUGCCCUUUGAUGCCCCAGGCACACUGUCCUCCCUAUUGUUCCUUAAACACGGUGAACUCAUUCAUACCUCAGGACCUUUGUUUAUACUUUUCCCUUCAUAGGAAAUUCUUGAUUCCCUGCAUAGAACACUUAUUACUCUGCUCUUCACAUGUGCCUUCUGAUGCUUCAGGUUUUGGUUUAAAUGUCACGUCCUCAGAGAGGUCCCAUGACAACCUAAUCAAGGCAGCAGUAAUUGGUUGAACACAUGAUUCCGCAUCAGGAAAUGUUUUAAAACUGUUCUGAAAGAAACGCUUUUUCCCACUGGGUCUAAAUGAAGUAUACUGGAAGCCAUCUUGGAAGCAGUCGUUAGAGAGAGACUGACUGGACGUGAAGCCAACACUAGGAAAUGGAAACAAGGAAACUCAGUCCUGGUCAAGUUUGACUCCUGUGUCAUACAUCUGAAAAGAGUUAAUUUUGUACUCUUACAUUAUAUAAGCAAGUAAAUUAGCUUUUAAAAAAUAAAGACCUUUGGAUUGUU